rnacentral:rRNA from 1 species
GACGAACGCUGGCGGCGUGCUUAACACAUGCAAGUCGAACGGAAAGGCCCUGCUUUUGUGGGGUGCUCGAGUGGCGAACGGGUGAGUAACACGUGAGUAACCUGCCCUUGACUUUGGGAUAACUUCAGGAAACUGGGGCUAAUACCGGAUAGGAGCUCCUGCUGCAUGGUGGGGGUUGGAAAGUUUCGGCGGUUGGGGAUGGACUCGCGGCUUAUCAGCUUGUUGGUGGGGUAGUGGCUUACCAAGGCUUUGACGGGUAGCCGGCCUGAGAGGGUGACCGGCCACAUUGGGACUGAGAUACGGCCCAGACUCCUACGGGAGGCAGCAGUGGGGAAUAUUGCACAAUGGGCGGAAGCCUGAUGCAGCAACGCCGCGUGCGGGAUGACGGCCUUCGGGUUGUAAACCGCUUUCGCCUGUGACGAAGCGUGAGUGACGGUAAUGGGUAAAGAAGCACCGGCUAACUACGUGCCAGCAGCCGCGGUGAUACGUAGGGUGCGAGCGUUGUCCGGAUUUAUUGGGCGUAAAGGGCUCGUAGGUGGUUGAUCGCGUCGGAAGUGUAAUCUUGGGGCUUAACCCUGAGCGUGCUUCGAUACGGGUUGACUUGAGGGAAGGUAGGGGAGAAUGGAAUUCUGGUGGAGCGGUGGAAUGCGCAGAUAUCAGGAGGAACACCAGUGGCGAAGGCGGCUCUCUGGGCCUUUCCUGACGCUGAGGAGCGAAAGCGUGGGGAGCGAACAGGCUUAGAUACCCUGGUAGUCCACGCUGUAAACGGUGGGUACUAGGUGUGGGGUCCAUUCCACGGGUUCCGUGCCGUAGCUAACGCUUUAAGUACCCCGCCUGGGGAGUACGGCCGCAAGGCUAAAACUCAAAGGAAUUGACGGGGCCCCGCACAAGCGGCGGAGCAUGCGGAUUAAUUCGAUGCAACGCGUAGAACCUUACCUGGGUUUGACAUGGAUCGGGAGUGCUCAGAGAUGGGUGUGCCUCUUUUGGGGUCGGUUCACAGGUGGUGCAUGCCUGUCGUCAGCUCGUGUCGUGAGAUGUUGGGUUAAGUCCCGCAACGAGCGCAACCCUUGUUCACUGUUGCCAGCACGUUAUGGUGGGGACUCAGUGGAGACCGCCGGGGUCAACUCGGAGGAAGGUGGGGAUGACGUCAAGUCCUCAUGCCCCUUAUGUCCAGGGCUUCACGCAUGCUACAAUGGCUGGUACAGAGAGUGGCGAGCCUGUGAGGGUGAGCGAAUCUCGGAAAGCCGGUCUCAGUUCGGAUUGGGGUCUGCAACUCGACCUCAUGAAGUCGGAGUCGCUAGUAAUCGCAGAUCAGCAACGCUGCGGUGAAUACGUUCCCGGGGCU